CAUGCUCUUUGAUCUAAUUACUAAUAAAAACCCAGCUCAAGAGAGCUCGGGACGCCUGCUUAACAAACCUCUUGACUCCGCGUCUCCUUGAUCCCAACAUCUGGUGACCCCGACGUGAUUCACCGGAUCCCGAGGACCCCUGCUCAUCCGACUGGAAUAGUCUAGGUGCACCCGCUGGAAACAGCCACUCGUGGCGGCGUUGGUACACCGAAUAUCCCUGCACAAACCUCAACGGCACAACGGCAUUAUCAGACGACCGAAGUUCUUCCUGCUCCAAAGGUAACCUAUCGUCAGCUACCUGGCCCGGAGUGGAGCGGACCUGUGCCACUAAUCACCUGGGGGCGCGGUUACGCAGCUGUAUCAACACCAAGCGGCCCGCUCUGGGUACCUGCACGAUACGUUCGACCAUACAAGGAUGGCGUGGCAUCAGGGACUGAGCAACCCCAUCCCUGACUUCAACAUACACUUAUAUGAUGAACAAGCAAAUGUUUGCAUAUGUUAUUGUUAUAGCUGCAGGAUUAAUACUUUGUUGCUGCAUAUUACAGUGUAUUCCUUCUUCACUUAUUAGCCUAUUUGUCCAAGGCUGCCCUUGGCAACGACUUAAUACAAAACAGAGCAUUCAUUAUGCCUGCAAAUUGCUUAAAAACAAAAAGGGGGAGAUGUAGUGAAACAUGCUGUGCUGGCAAACCACACACGUGUUUAUUACAUUUACUCCUGGCUUAAGGUAAAGCAAUGCUCAGGUUAUUGAUUAAGCAUAGA